CUGGGUUGGCCAAAAAGUUUGUUUGGGUUUUUCUGUAACAUCAUAUGGAAAAUCUCCAAUGAUCUUUCUGGCCAAUCCGA
rnacentral:miRNA from 1 species